rnacentral:lncRNA from 1 species
AUGUGGCCGGGGCAGGAGCUGUUCCCCGGGACUCCCCGCUGCCCAGCAGCAUUCCUGGCCUGGAGGGAUGAGCGUUCACAUGGUGGCAGUGCCACCAGCGCCACAUGCACCGUCCCCGUGCCCCGUGCUGUGGGGUGCUCCCCAUUCGGGCAGGGCAGGAGCUCCCCAGGACCCGAGGCACCACGGGCUGAUCCCAGCAGAUCCUGCCCGAGCCCCCGGUGCUGGGAGCAGCAGGCUGCGACCCCAACACCGCCCCUUGCACACCAGCCACGAAACACCAGGGAGAUGCCACAUCAAGCCCCUGGCACGCAGCAGGACCUUGGGAAGAGUCUCGGCUCCCUGCACCUGCACGGAGAGCAUCCCCACCUCCCCUCCAGCAUCCCAACCCUGCCCCGGGCACCUGCGCUGCCUGUGGGCGAGCACAUGCCCAGGGCACGUAGUCACCAGGGCCUGGAGCUGCCCGUGGGGGUCCCCUCUCCGAAGGGUGGCACGGGACCAUCGGCACUGCGCCCGCGGGCCGGGGGCUGCCUACCUGCUGCCCCGAGGCAUGGGCUCCGUCCGGGCCGGCACAGGGCCGCGGGCGCCGCGCGUGUCGGUCUAACACCAGGGUUUGAAAGUGUUCAGGAAGCUGCUUAUCAAAGGAGCUGCUGCCUCUGCCGCUUCCUCUCCCUCCUUCUCCCCCACCCUGCCUGCCGCCCACACACAUACCGGCCACAUCGCCGCAGCUCGGCUCCGCCGGGCUGCCUGCAGCCCCAGCCCCGCUCCCCGCCGGCGAACCCCCGUCGUGUGCCCGUGGGUGCAGUCUUUCCCCCCAAAAAAAAUUCCUGGGGUGCACCCAGGGGUGUCCCCGCCAGGGCCUGUGGGGCGCGCGGUGCCCUCUGCGCCCGGCCACGGCCUGGGCCGGCUGCGGGGACGCGGAGAGACGGGUGGGAGCCUGGCCAUGGGGACGGGGCUGCUGGCGGUGUUUUGAGCGUGGCUUCACGUGGCAUGGUGGCACUGCCACGUGCCACCCCGUGGGGACCGAGGCCGGGUCCCCCACCCGUGCCACACUGCCUGCAUCCCCUCACCCGUUGCCGUUCCCAGCCAGGGCGCAGCGCCUCGCACCCGCCGUGCCCAGCCGUGGGUGACGUGGCCAGGAUCCCCCCGGGGGUGCCACCCUCACACCCCUGCAGCUGGGACCACCCCAACAGGGGGCAGGGAACGGGGGCAGAAAGGUCCCGGGAGGGUCGGGCUCAGGUAGGACAGCUCUGCCUGCCCUCGGGCCGCUGCACAUCCUUCCUGCGAUGCCCUCAGGCGCUCGCUGCCUCCCCGCAGCCCUGCCACUCUUCCUGUUUGUCGUGGCCCAGGCUGCGCGCACAGGCGCUGCUCGGCCCCUUUCCUUCCUCUUCUGCCCCCACCCCGCUGCAGCGGCCCCGCUGCUCCCCACAAAUUGUUCCGGGCACAGUGGCCCAAAUGCCUUCGCCGCUUGCCUGGCCAGCAGCACAGCCUGCCCUGAAGACAAGGCCACCGAGGGCCUUGUGA